ACGAACGCUGGCGGCGUGCUUAACACAUGCAAGUCGAACGAUGAAGAAAAGAAUCGAAGCUUCGGCAGCAAUUCAUUUCGGAUUAGUGGCAGACGGGUGAGUAACGCGUGAGCAACCUACCUCUUACAAAGGGAUAGCCUCGGGAAACCGGGAUUAAUACCAUAUAACAUUGUGACGAAGCAUUUCGAUGCAAUCAAAGCUACGGCGGUAAGAGAUGGGCUCGCGUCCCAUUAACCGGAUGGUGAGGUAACGGCUCACCAUAGUGACGAUGGGUAACCGGCCUGAGAGGGUGAACGGUCACACUGGAACUGAGACACGGUCCAGACUCCUACGGGAGGCAGCAGUGGGGAAUAUUGCACAAUGGAGGGAACUCUGAUGCAGCGACGCCGCGUGAGUGAUGAAGGAAUUCGUUUCGUAAAACUCUGUUCUAUGGGAAGAAAAGGACUGUACCAUAGGAGAAAGCUCCGGCUAAAUACGUG
rnacentral:rRNA from 1 species